UACGAAGGGGGCAAGCGUUGUUCGGAAUUACUGGGCGUAAAGGGCGCGUAGGCGGCCUUGUAAGUCAGAUGUGAAAGCCCUGGGCUCAACCCGGGAACUGCAUUUGAUACUGCGAGGCUCGAAUCUCGGAGAGGUUGGUGGAAUUCCCAGUGUAGAGGUGAAAUUCGUAGAGAUUGGGAAGAACACCGGUGGCGAAGGCGGCCAACUGGACGAGUAUUGACGCUGAGGCGCGAAAGCGUGGGGAGCAAACAGG
rnacentral:rRNA from 1 species